rnacentral:piRNA from 1 species
UUACAGAUGGUUUUGAGCCACCAUGUAGU